rnacentral:rRNA from 1 species
AGAGUUUGAUCCUGGCUCAGGACGAACGCUGGCGGCGUGCUUAACACAUGCAAGUCGAACGAUGAAGUUCCUUCGGGAAUGGAUUAGUGGCGAACGGGUGAGGAACACGUGAGAAAUCUGCCCAUCAUUCUGGGAUAACACCGGGAAACCGGUGCUAAUACUGGAUACUCCAUCGCGGCGGCAUCGCUGCGCUGGGAAAGAAUUUCGAUGAUGGAUGAUCUCGCGGCCUAUCAGCUUGUUGGUGAGGUAAUGGCUCACCAAGGCGACGACGGGUAGCCGGCCUGAGAGGGCGACCGGCCACACUGGGACUGAGACACGGCCCAGACUCCUACGGGAGGCAGCAGUGGGGAAUAUUGGGCAAUGGACGCAAGUCUGACCCAGCGACGCCGCGUGAGGGAUGAAGGCCUUCGGGUUGUAAACCUCUUUCAGUGGGGAAGAAGCGAAAGUGACGGUACCCAAAGAAGAAGCACCGGCUAACUAUGUGCCAGCAGCCGCGGUAAUACAUAGGGUGCAAGCGUUGUCCGGAAUUAUUGGGCGUAGAGAGCUCGUAGGUCGUUUGACACGUCGGAUGUGAAAAUCUGAGGCUUAACCUCAGACCUGCAUUCGAUACGGUCAAACUAGAGUGUGGUAGGGGAGACUGGAAUUCCUGGUGUAGCGGUGGAAUGCGCAGAUAUCAGGAGGAACACCAAUGGCGAAGGCAGGUCUCUGGGCCAUUACUGACACUGAGGAGCGAAAGCGCGGGGAGCGAACAGGAUUAGAUACCCUGGUAGUCCGCGCCGUAAACGGUGGGCACUAGUUGUGGGGACCUUCCAAGGUUUCCGCGACGCAGCUAACGCAUUAAGUGCCCCGCCUGGGGAGUACGAUCGCAAGAUUAAAACUCAAAGGAAUUGACGG